GGCUUGUUAGCUCAGUUGGUAGAGCACUGCACUGGUAUUGCAGAGGUCAUGGGUUCAAAUCCCAUACAGGCCU
rnacentral:tRNA from 1 species